AGAAUGAACGUUGGCGGCGUGGAUUAGGCAUGCAAGUCGAGCGUGUACCCGCAAGGGGAAAGCGGCGUAAGGGACAGUAACACGUAGAUCACCUACCCUCGGAUUCGGGAUAGCUGCGGGAAACUGCAAUUAAUACCGAAUAAUGUCUCCGGACCAAAGGUGUGAUUCCGUCCGAGGAUGGGUCUGCGUCCUAUUAGCUAGUUGGUAGGGUAAUGGCCUACCAAGGCAAUGAUGGGUAGUGGGUGUGAGAGCACGACCCGCGUCACUGGGACUGAGAUACUGCCCAGACACCUACGGGUGGCUGCAGUCGAGGAUCUUCGGCAAUGGGCGCAAGCCUGACCGAGCGACGCCGCGUGCGGGAUGAAGGCCUUCGGGUUGUAAAGUCCUUUCGACGGGGAAGAUAAUGACGGUACCCGUAGAAGAAGCCCCGGCUAACUUCGUGCCAGCAGCCGC
rnacentral:rRNA from 1 species